GUCCAGGCACGCGCUGCGCACCAAUGGCCCGCCGAGGAGGGGGGACACAUGGGGAUUUCUGACAUAACUCCUCAAACCCUGACCUUGAGGGACACAAUAAAAGAAGCCCUCCAUCGACCCGGACUGUGCACUACGGCUAAGAAAACAUGGAGAGAAGCACUCGCUUUCCGUGAUCCGGAACGGGCAGCGUGUCCCGUUUGUAAGGAGGCUGGCCUGUGUCCUGCAAGAGCGCUCGGCUGGCGGCGCAAAAAGGGGGAAAACGGAUUUUUAUAAUAAAUUCACUUUUUUCCAGCACAUCAAACGAGGGGACAAUGGUGAAAAUUAGGGGAAAAGGCGCAACGUUCAUUGAAAAUUUGCGAGAAGGCCGAGGCGAAGAUGCGAUGGCGAGUCCAUAGGAGGUUAAAGAUACCGCAUCUCUUAUUUUACAUUUAUUUACAGGUGACAUUAUUAACUACAAAUAAACGAUUUCCAGUGGAUCAGAGAAUGACAUCCACAGAGAGACGUGUAACAGAAGAAUCGAUACAUGGACGAUGGCCAAUCAGCUCAGCAGUCCCAGUAUUGUCAUGGAAACCAAGACCGUACGUAGAGUAAGAUCACGUGGCUGUCACCAGCGUGGACCCUGAUUGCGCUGAACGGAAAUACGCAGUGUUGUUCAGGCCCCUUCCAGGAUUAUGGACCUUGACGCCAUUCCGUCCCCAAAAUUAUACACACUAGUCUCACCCGCCUGUGUGUUUAUAUGCACAUGUACACCAAUCUGUUAUAUCCUUUAAAAGGCCGCUAUUACACUAGUGAACUUCUAAGUGCAUGUGUAGGACAAAUUUGGGGAUAAUACAUGGUUCAGAGGAUUAGGACACUGCCCGUGAUUGGAAGGUCACUAGUUCCAAUCCCAGGGUGGGCAGAACGGGUUCAUCACAGGGUCCUUGAGCAAGGCCCUUAAUGCCGGAUUGUUCUAGGGAUCGGCUGACCCUGCUUUCUCAAAAAUCGCUUUGGAUAAAAGUGUCUGCUAAUUAAAUACAUUUAAAAAUACACCUUAGCAAAAAACAACAGUUUUAGAUCGGCUGGGGAAGGAGUUAUUUUAUUUUAGAUCUACGAUUAGAAGUGUAAGGUGUACUUGUACAUAGAUGUUGGAAGUUUACAUUUGUUCACGGACUGCCCGGGAUUAUUGUCACGCUGCUGCGCUGGCACGCUUCGGCCGAACGGAAGGGGACAUUAGCGGUGACUCACAUCACUCUUAAAGAGCGGGAUGCCAAGAAGUCUCCUCGGGCCAGCAGUACCCGACACGAGUGGCGAGCGCGUGUGUCUCGCGGGGAGGUAUGCCGUCAUCGUGUGCACGGCGUGUGUCCGCGCACGUGCGCGUGAUCCCAGCGGAAAGAUCCGGCUCGAGGUGCAGACGGUGUCUGGGGAGGCAGAUGGUGACAAGUGUCUCUUAAGAACGGCGACGCCGGCUGUUUGGCCGCUAUUAAAAAUAACCUACGGCUCAGCCCCAGCCUCUUUGUUUCAGGCGACUGCAUUUUACAUGACGACAUUGGCGAAAUAUCUGGCUGCGCAUCGCGGGGUCGCGUUUCACAAAGGGCUUCGGUUUUAAAUGGCAGGCAAACUCACCUUAUUUAGACUAACCAGCACAGAUCGCGGGUAGAGGCGCAGCACGCAAGCACCAGGCAGUCAGCAGCAAUCGAAAGCGUGACGGUGAUACACACCAAGCACAUCCCAGUGUGAGAAAUCGCCCUUCUAAACAAUGUCGAAAAACGGUUAUUUCGAUAACUUGCAACCUUCAGAUACUGCUGUGAAUCUUGCUUCCUGGAAUUUCACAAUGAACCAAAUAAAAGUGACCCUCACACUGAAA